rnacentral:rRNA from 1 species
CCUACGGGAGGCUGCAGUGGGGAAUAUUGCACAAUGGGGGAAACCCUGAUGCAGCGACGCCGCGUGAGUGAAGAAGUAUUUCGGUACGGAAAGCUCUAUCAGCAGGGAAGAAAAUGACGGUACCUGACGAAGCAGCCACGGCUAACUACGUGCCAGCAGCCGAGGUAAUACGUAGGGGGCAAGCGUUCUCCGGAUUUACUGGGUGUAAAGUGAGCGUAGACGGCAGCGCAAGUCUGGAGUGAAAUCCAAUGGCUUAACCCUGGAACUGCUUGGGAAACUGUGCAGCUAGAGUGCAGGAGAGGUAAGCGGAAUUCCUAGUGUAGCGGUUAAAUGCGUAGAUAUUAGGAGGAACACCAGUGGCGAAGGCGGCUUACUGGACUGUAACUGACGUUGAGGCUCGAAAGCGUUGGGAGCAAACAGGAUUAGAUACCCCAGUAGUC